GAUGAACGCUGGCGGCGUGCCUAACACAUGCAAGUCGAACGAAGCUCCCAGAAUUGAGUUUUCGGACAAGAGGAAGGGAUGACUUAGUGGCGGACGGGUGAGUAAUGCGUGAGCAACCUGCCUUUCAGAGGGGGACAACAGUUGGAAACGACUGCUAAUACUGCAUAACGUAUAUUGAUGGCAUCAUCGAUAUACCAAAGAUUUUAUCGCUGAAAGAUGGGCUCACGUCUGAUUAGCUAGUUGGUGAGGUAACGGCUCACCAAGGCUGCGAUCAGUAGCCGGACUGAGAGGUCGAACGGCCACAUUGGGACUGAGAUACGGCCCAGACUCCUACGGGAGGCAGCAGUGGGGAACAUUGGGCAAUGGGCGCAAGCCUGACCCAGCAACGCCGCGUGAAGGAAGAAGGCUUUCGGGUUGUAAACUUCUUUUGGCAGGGGCGAAACAAAUGACGGUACCUGCAGAAUAAGCUCCGGCUAACUACGUGCCAGCCGCCGCAGUAAAAC
rnacentral:rRNA from 1 species